rnacentral:rRNA from 1 species
GACGAACGCUGGCGGCGUGCUUAACACAUGCAAGUCGAACGGUGAACCAGGGCUUGCCCUGGGGAUCAGUGGCGAACGGGUGAGUAACACGUGGGCAACCUGCCCCUGACUCUGGGAUAACUCCUCGAAAGAGGUGCUAAUACCGGAUACGACCACUUCGGGCAUCCGAUGGUGGUGGAAAGAAUUUUGGUCAGGGAUGGGCCCGCGGCCUAUCAGCUUGUUGGUGGGGUAACGGCCCACCAAGGCGACGACGGGUAGCCGGCCUGAGAGGGCGACCGGCCACACUGGGACUGAGACACGGCCCAGACUCCUACGGGAGGCAGCAGUGGGGAAUAUUGCGCAAUGGGCGAAAGCCUGACGCAGCGACGCCGCGUGAGGGACGACGGCCUUC